GACGAACGCUGGCGGCGUGCCUAAUACAUGCAAGUCGAGCGCAGGAAAUCGACGGAACCCUUCGGGGGAAAGUCGACGGAAUGAGCGGCGGACGGGUGAGUAACACGUAAAGAACCUGCCCUCAGGUCUGGGAUAACCACGAGAAAUCGGGGCUAAUACCGGAUGGGUCAUCGGACCGCAUGGUCCGAGGAUGAAAGGCGCUCCGGCGUCGCCUGGGGAUGGCUUUGCGGUGCAUUAGCUAGUUGGUGGGGUAAUGGCCCACCAAGGCGACGAUGCAUAGGCGACCUGAGAGGGUGAUCGGCCACACUGGGACUGAGACACGGCCCAGACUCCUACGGGAGGCAGCAGUAGGGAAUCUUCCACAAUGGACGAAAGUCUGAUGGAGCAACGCCGCGUGAACGAUGAAGGCCUUCGGGUCGUAAAGUUCUGUUGUAAGGGAAGAACAAGUGCCGCAGGCAAUGGCGGCACCUUGACGGUACCUUGCGAGAAAGCCACGGCUAACUACGUGCCAGCAGCCGCCGUAAAAC
rnacentral:rRNA from 1 species